ensembl:snRNA U6 U6 spliceosomal RNA
GCUCACUUUGGCAGCAUAUGUUAAAACUGGAAUGAUACAGACAAGAUUACCAUGAGGCCUCCACAGGGAUGCCCCAAAGCAAAUUUAUGAAAUGUUCCAUGUUUUA